AAAAUAAACAAUUGGGAAAUUAUGUUUUUGCUAUUAGUAUUUUUAACUUGUCAAUAUUAUUAUUUGUAGGCCGCCACCUGAUGAUAUGCAAGAACAGAGGUCAGAAGAUGUGUAUUCAGAAUCAGCCAAAAAGACUUUCUCUAAACCUCAUAUGCCAUCACCAAAGAGUCAACGGAAAUCCUGCUCUAUUGAAGAUUAUGAAGAUUAUUAUACUAAUAUUGAAGACCUCAACGUUUACGGCAACAUCUGAUGAAAAUGCAUCAUAUUUCUUAAAUGUGCUUUAUACAGGAUACGUUAAAAAAAUAUUUCCAAGGAAAGUAAAUAUUAGCAUCAAUAUUUUAUUUCACGCACAUUAUGCUUAUUGUCAUUUUGUAUGAAUCUUUUCGCAUUUUUUUUGCUGGAUGUGUCUGGUUUUUAAGUAUAGUCAAUCAUUAUUGAUAAAACAAUCGUUUUUUUAAAUUUCCGUCUGAAUUUAUGUCUAAUAAGGAAAUUUAACAUCCAAUUUAAAUCCAACCCUUGCUCUUUGAACCACACCAGGCAGUAAUUUAAACCAGAUAUAUAAUCUAUGAAAAAACAUGUAUAUCAUAAUGUAUAUGCAUAGGCAAAGAGGACAUUCAGACUUGUCAAGAUAAGAGUGAUACUGGAGCAAGUACAUGAAUAAAGCUUUUUGUGAAAAAUGGAUUAAAUAAAAAAAAAGUUAAAUAAUCUGCAUAAUGUUUACAAUCUGUACCUUAUGUUUACAGUAUGUAUUGUGCAUCCAGGUAAAAUUCAGCCGGCUUUGUCUGCCGUUUUGUAAGACCUUAUUGAGUUUACAACUCAUUAUUUCAAGGGAUAAUCCUUUUUCCCCUAGUGAUUCCGAUUUUUUUAACAUGUUGGUUUUAUUUCUCUGUCUGGAUGUUAUAAAUUGCACUGAGUAAAUAGAGCUUAUUAAAAUAAAAACUGUGGUCAUCUUCAUUUCAGGCUGCAAAGCAACAAAUGUAGAUUAUUUUUUGAAGGGUGUGACUCUUUUCUAUAUUUCUAUAUUUUCUAUAUGUUUGAAACAGAGGAGUGUGUCUGCGGUUUCUGGGACUUGUGUCCAUGUGUAUUUACCUCGUUGAUUAGUUUAACUCAUUCAUUUUCAUAUUUUAACUAUUUUAUAAUUUUUAUGGACGAAAACACUACAUUAUGACUUAUUUUUGCACAGUUUACUCCUUUAUUAAAGGUUUUAGGGUUUAUUUUUCAGAAUAGAGGGAAAGCAUGUGUUUCUCCUAUUCUCCCAAGACAUUUUGACUGUGUAAAUAAACAGAUGUUCAUUGGACAUUUUAUAAGCCUGACUAAAGUUUACAGUUUUGUACAUUCAAAUUAAGUGUUCCUGUACAUUACAUAAGAGAAGUAUAUUGAUAUUCGUGCAACACAAUACUGUGAUGCCGUGACUGUUAAAUUACGUCAUCAGGAGAGUGUGAUUAACUUGAACUUACCUUAUGUUGGACCAUACCAUUGGUUACAGCAAGAGGGUGUAUGAUGGGAGAUACUCAUCCCCUAGAAUGGUUUAAUCCAUCUCAGAUUUGUCUGGAAGCCUAGGUGUUUUAAACAGGCAUGGUAUGGUGCAGAGGAAACCCAUGCGAGAGGCUAGGUCUGCUACAAGACUGGCAGAGUCAAAUCACGACUUGGAGGACAUUGAUUAGUGU